rnacentral:lncRNA from 1 species
CGGCUGAAGCUCGGUUGGGAUAUCUGAUGGAGCGAAAUGACUCUCUAUCUCGUCAAUCUAGGAGAAGCUCGGAUGUUUCUAAGGUUGUGAUGGGUCUACUAUUGUUGGGUGCCUAGAGCACUGAUGCUGCAGUUGGAAACCAUCUACUAUAGAAGCUCGGAUAGAAACUUUCUGUUGGAAAAGUCCGAUUUCAUGAAGAAUCUGGCAA